AGCCCAUGUCCGCUGAUGUUGUGCUGGCUUCGGUCGUUAUGCUAUCGCAGGGCUAAGAACAAAACAACCAUUCAUCCUCUCUUGGGUACCAGCUCUGACGACCGAACAAAGCCGUUGACGACCAGCUCACCUGCGGUCUGUUGUGUCUGCACACCAUCCACCUGAGGUAGGGGCCCAAGUGUCCCUUCAUCAUUAAAGGCCAAAAUUGGUUUCAAAGGAAUUUCUGGGUUCUCAUUGGUGACAUCUAAUCUGGACGCUUUUGAUCCAACAGCGCCGUCUGCAGCCAAGCCUGUGCCUGUAGCCUCGUGGGUGUUCCCUAUGGUCGGCUGACUGGGGAAGAGAAGAGUAGGGCCUGGUUUACUAAUGGCCCUGAACAUUAUGCAGGCACCAUCCAGAAGUAGACAGCUGCAGCCUUAUAGGGGGACAACUCUGGAAGACACUGGUGAAAGGACAUCUUCACUGUGGGAGGAACUUCAGGCCGGAUGUUGCCAGGAGAGGAGGAGGGGGCCUGAGCGGAAGCAGCUCUGACUGAGCCGGGAGGCAAGGAGGAUGCAGGCCGGGGAGUACCAGGCAGAUGAGGCAUGGACUUGGAUGGGAGCCUGGGCCAAAGAAGACAAAGACAAUGAGUAGGUCAGGAUCAUCUUACCAGACCCCAGAACACCCACACAUGUAAAACCAAGCAGACGUUCUGAUAGGAGGAUUUUCUGUUUGUGAUAAAUGUGGAAAAGGAGUGGCUAGUGAGACUCAGCUCAACGAUCCUUUCUCCUUUUGCUAAAAGACAGCUUGCGGUCCCCAAAGUCAAAGGCAAGCAGUGAGGACAGAAGCUAAUUCUCCAUGGUGGGCCUUCCCAUGCACCUCCGCCACACUCACCAAAGGCGGGCUGGAGCCGGUGACCUCGCUUUGAGAUUAGAUGGAGACAGAGUCCUGCGGGCGCCCGGGGAAACGUGGAAGGGAACGUGUUCUCUUUCUCGCUCUCUUUUAUGGCUCUGGUUCAGAGAAACUCAGUAAUUAGAAUUUUCAUAUUAACGAUAUCCAACGACAAACUACAGACCACUUAGUGUUUUUAAGAAUUUAAGACAACUUCUAAACUACGUCAUAUAUCCACGCCACUGCAGGACAAGGCGCCUGUCUGCUAACAAUCGAACAGUACAUAACUGAGCCAACACAGAUGGCAGGAUAAAGAAGAUCUGAGAGAUGGUUGGAAGGGAGUAAAGGAAAGGGGGAAAUGAUGUAAUUAUAAUCUC
rnacentral:lncRNA from 1 species